rnacentral:rRNA from 1 species
UACAGAGGUCUCAAGCGUUGUUCGGAUUCAUUGGGCGUAAAGGGUGCGUAGGCGGCGCGGUAAGUCGGGUGUGAAAUCUCGGGGCUUAACUCCGAAACUGCAUUCGAUACUGCCGUGCUUGAGGACUGGAGAGGAGACUGGAAUUUACGGUGUAGCGGUGAAAUGCGUAGAUAUCGUAAGGAAGACCAGUGGCGAAGGCGGGUCUCGUGGACAGUUCCUGACGCUGAGGCACGAAGGCCAGGGGGAGCAAACGGG